CCUACGGGAGACUGCAGUAGGGAAUCUUUCACAAUGGGCGAAAGCCUGAUGGAGCAACGCCGCGUGCAGGAUGAAGGCCUUCGGGUUGUAAACUGCUUUUAUAAGCGAGAAAUAUGAUGGUAACUUAUGAAUAAGGAUCGGCUAACUACGUGCCAGCAGCCGCGGUCAUACGUAGGAUCCGAGCAUUAUCCGGAGUGACUGGGUGUAAAGAGUUGCGUAGGUGGCAUAAUAAGUAGCUAGUGGAAUCUGGUGGCUCAACCAUUCAGACUAUUAGCUAAACUGUUAAGCUUGAGACCGUUAGAGGUAACUGGAAUUUCUAGUGUAGGAGUGAAAUCCGUAGAUAUUAGAAGGAACACCAAUAGCGUAGGCAGGUUACUGGGACGGUUCUGACACUAAGGCACGAAAGCGUAGGGAGCAAACGGGAUUAGAUACCCGUGUAGUC
rnacentral:rRNA from 1 species